rnacentral:ncRNA from 1 species
UAAAAAUUUUUAUAGUUUGAAAAAUUUAUUUUGAAUUUAUUUUACAUAUAAAUUUUAGUGUUAAUAUUAAUUUAUUUAAAAAAUAAAUUUUAUUAUUAUUUGUUAGUAAUUAAUAUUAAAAUAUUUAAGAAAUUAAUAUUUAGUAAUAUUAAAAUUAAUAACUAAUUUUGUGCCAGCAGUUGCGGUUAAACAAAGAUUAAAUUAAAUUUUAUCAGUAAUUAAUAAAUAUUGAAAUUUAUAAUUUAAAUUUUAAAUUAUUAGGUGAAAUUUUAAUUUAAUAAAAAAUUAUUUUAAUUUUAUGAUUUAAUAAAUUUUUAUAAAAACUAGGAUUAGAUACCCUAUUAUUAAAACUUUAAAUUAAAAUACUGAAAUAGUAAUUAAUUAUUUAUUGAAACUUAAGUAAUUUGGCGGUAUUUUAGUUCAUUUAGAGGAAUCUGUUUAUUAAUUGAUAAUCCACGAAUAAAUUUACUUAAUUUAUAAUUUUGUAUAUCGUUGUUAAAAAAAUAUUUUUUAAUAAUAAUAAUAUUUAAAAAUUUUAAAAUAAAUUAAAUCAGAUCAAGAUGCAGAUAAUAGUUAAGAAUAUAAUGGAUUACAAUAAAAUUAUUUAAGUGAAUAUUAAUUUGAAAUAAUUAAUUGAAAUUGGAUUUAAAUGUAAUUUUAUUUAAUUUAAUAAAAUGAUUUAAAAUUGAAAUAUGUACAUAUUGCCCGUCGCUUUCAUAUAUUUAUAUAAAAUUAAUUAUUUAAUUAUAUAUUAUUAAAUUGAAAUAAGUCGUAACAAAGUAGAGGUACUGGAAAGUGUUUCUAGAAAGAC